rnacentral:rRNA from 1 species
GGGCCCGCACAAGCAGUGGAGCAUGUGGUUUAAUUCGAUGCAACGCGAAGAACCUUACCAGGCCUUGACAUCCCCGGAACUUUCUAGAAAUAGAUUGGUGCCUUCGGGAACGCAGUGACAGGUGCUGCAUGGCUGUCGUCAGCUCGUGUCGUGAGAUGUUGGGUUAAGUCCCGUAACGAGCGCAACCCACAUCCCUAGUUGCCAGCAGUUCGGCUGGGCACUCUAUGGAAACUGCCCGUGAUAAGCGGGAGGAAGGUGUGGAUGACGUCAAGUCCUCAUGGCCCUUACGGGUUGGGCUACACACGUGCUACAAUGGUAGUGACAAUGGGU